GUCGAUCCUGCCGGAGGCCACUGCUAUCGGAGUUCGAUUAAGCCAUGCGAGUCGAGAGGUGCAAGACCUCGGCAUACUGCUCAGUAACACGUGGACAAUCUAACCUAAGGUGGGGGAUAACCCCGGGAAACUGGGGAUAAUACCCCAUAGACUAUGAAUGCUGGAAUGCUUUGUAGUCGAAAGGUCAGCCGCCUUAGGAUGGGUCUGCGGCCGAUUAGGUAGUUGUUGGGGUAACGGCCCAACAAGCCUGUAAUCGGUACGGGUUGUGGGAGCAAGAGCCCGGAGAUGGAUUCUGAGACACGAAUCCAGGCCCUACGGGGCGCAGCAGGCGCGAAAACUUUACAAUGCGGGAAACCGUGAUAAGGGAACUCCGAGUGCCCGUAAAAUCGGGCUGUCCAUCUGUUUAAAUAACAGGUGAAGAAAGGGCCGGGCAAGACCGGUGCCAGCCGCCGCGGUAAUACCGGCGGCUCGAGUGGUGGCCACUAUUACUGGGCUUAAAGCGUUCGUAGCUGGUCUGUUAAGUCUCUGGGGAAAUCUACUGGUUUAACCAAUAGGCGUCUCAGGGAUACUGGCAGACUAGGGACCGGGAGAGGUGAGAGGUACUCCAGGGGUAGGAGUGAAAUCCUGUAAUCCUUGGGGGACCACCUGUGGCGAAGGCGUCUCACCAGAACGGCUCCGACAGUGAGGGACGAAAGCUGGGGGAGCAAACCGGAUUAGAUACCCGGGUAGUCCCAGCCGUAAACGAUGCGCGUUAGGUGUAUCGGUGACCACGAGUCACCGACGUGCCGAAGAGAAAUCGUGAAACGUGCCGCCUGGAAGUACGGUCGCAAGGCUGAAACUUAAAGGAAUUGGCGGGGGAGCACCACAAC
rnacentral:rRNA from 1 species